rnacentral:lncRNA from 1 species
UCCAUGUUUUAUUGGUUGGUUAGUGAGCAAUUUACAUUUUGGUUUUCUCUCUCUUCCAUGGAGCUUGAGCUUUGUGUUGACCAAAUUAGAGCUUAUCUACGAUGCUAUUAGUGUAGAAUAGGUAGCACCAUCAAUUAGGUGAUAUAGCUUGAUUUUAUUGGAGAUUAAUUGUAGUUUCAUGUAUGGAGAGAAAAGGCAUUCUAGAUCUAGGGUUUCCUUUUUUUGUUUUUGUUUCAUGAAUUUGGAAUGUGGUUGGCAUGAAUAGUUAUUGGUAAACUAUUAGUUGUUGUUAAUAUUAUUUGUUUCUAAUAAUGGUAGAUAAUAAUUGGUAAU